rnacentral:rRNA from 1 species
CCUACGGGAGGCUGCAGUGGGGAAUAUUGCACAAUGGGCGCAACCCUGAUGCAGCGACGCCGCGUGAAGGAAGAAGUCUUUCGGUAUGUAAACUUCUUUCAGCAGGGAAGAAAAUGACGGUACCUGACUAAGAAGCCCUGGCUAACUCCGUGCCAGCAGCCGCGGUAAUACGGAGGGGGCAAGCGGUAUCCGGAUUGACUGGGUGUAAAGGGAGCGUAGGCGGCGAUGCAAGUCAGUAGUGAAAGCCCCGGGCUCAACUCCGGGAUUGCUUUUGAAACUGUAUGGCUAGAGUGCAGGAGAGGCAAGUAGAAUUCCUAGUGUAGCGGUGAAAUGCGUAGAUAUGAGGAGGAACACCAGUGGCGAAGGCGGCUUGCUGGACUGAAAAUGACGCUGAGGCUCGAAAGCGUGGGGAGCAAACAGGAUUAGAUACCCUUGUAGUC